UUAAGUUCAGCGGGUAUUCCUACCUGAUCCGAGGUCAACGUUCAGAAAGUCGGGGGUUUUACGGCGUGGCCGCGCUACGCUCUAGUGCGAGGUUGUAAUUACUACGCAAGAGAGGCUGCAGCGAGACCGCCACUAUAUUUAGGGGACGGCUCCGCACGGGACGGGCCGAUCCCCAACACCAGGGGUCCCUCCCGUGAAGG
rnacentral:misc_RNA from 1 species